rnacentral:lncRNA from 1 species
CCUCCCUUUCCUCCAGGUGACAUUAGUGAGCCCCUGCUGUACCCGGGUCCGGAGCCGGGCCACCUCCCUGCCCAGCUGCCUUGGGCUCCCAUCGCCGCUCAGUCUGACCAGAAGGCAGAGCAAGGAACAGCUGGUGGCCCUCUUUGACAGCCCUGGUCCCCCAGAAGCUCCAGGCCUGAUUUGGUGUCCAAUGGGCCUGAGGGGGCAGAAUCAGGCCCAGGAAGAUGGAUUUCCCUGUCCCCUCGGCCCCCGCCCAGCAGGGAAGGGAGAAGACUGCUUCAUUAUGUUUAAUGGGAUUAUUGGGGGGGACAGUAGUCAUGGGGCAUUAGCUGCUAAUUG